GGUCAUAAGUUCUGUCACAAAUGUUUUGACUGAUAAAAUGUUAUACAAAGCUUUUAAUAAAAAGAGUUAACCAUGAUUUGAAAGCUGUUUUUAUACUGAUCAAAAUCGAAUAUAAUUAUUUUAAAAUUUAGAUCGCGACUUUGUUUACUACUUGUUUACUUUGGGAUUGUCGUUACACGCGAAUACGCGGCUGGAUUGUGAAAAAUUAUACUUCACAAAAGGGAGUCAAAAUCAGUGUCACAUUAAUAAAAUUGGUACAAUUGUUUAUUUGUGUGAACCUACUUUAUUAGAAAGUUAUUUUAUCACCAGCAUUUAGUUCUCUGACAAGUCUGUACAUCACACUAUUUCCCC